CUCUAGAUAGAUUCAUUGUUAAAGAAUCAAAUGCUACAAUUGAUGAAAAUAUUUUCAAUGAACAACAACAAGAUGAUUGUGGGAACCUAAUUAAACCAAAACCCUAGGUCAAUUAAUUAGGCCAAUCAAUUUGGGAAUUAUUUGACCUAAUUAGGAGUUACCUAACCUAAUUGGGAAUUACCUAAUCAAAUUGGGGGUUACUUGAUCCCCAAUUUAAUUAGGGAUUCGGUUCAUCCAUAAUCCCUAAAUGCACCAACCCCACCAACCACACCAACUACACCAACCCCACCUACCUCUCCAAAGGCCACUAUAAAUACCUGGUUACACACAAGGAUGAGGUACGUCUAAAUUCCUACUAAAACUCUGCAUAAAUUAUUUCUCAAAAACCCUAGCCACCUCCUUUCUUUCUCUCUCUCACACAGGGCUCCGGCCAUCACACACGGCUCCGGCCACCCGGUUUUCCUUGAAACACCCUACCUGACUUAGGCAUCGGAGGGCCUUUGGCCAACACCCCCCGGGUGUGGUCCUUUUACUCCGAUCUGUUUUGCAGGGAGAGAGAGAAGCAGAGAAGACGAAGGAAUCUUUGGCGAAUAUUCUCCCGUGAGAUUAUUUGUACAAACAAAUUGGUGCUUUCAUUGAGAGCACGAGAUAUAUUCAAAGCGUGCUCUAAAUCCAUCUUUCACACAUUUUUUCUGACAACCAUGGUUGAUACAAGACGUACGAAGAGUAACGCCACCACGAUGGGCCCAUCUCAUGGUUUCGUGGUGGAAACCUCAAUGCAACAGCACGGAAUCGUGGCUGCCAAUGCCUUGCAAUUUUCCUCUAGUGCUUUGCAGCCGCCUUCAGCUGCUGGAAUUGCAUAACAGCCGCCACAAGACCCUGGGACCUCCACAGCCUUGCAGUUGCCAGCGCCGAUUACCGGAGCUACUCUGCCUCGCUGUCCUGCCGUCGGAUCACAGCAGCAGCCACACCACUCAACUACCGGAUUUGCUGCUCAGCCCCAUGGCUACUCCGACGUCAUCCCAGUCUUGGAGCAGAUCCAUUCUCUCCCUCCUCUGCGAUCACACUCGACAUAUGCCCCUCUGUACGCGCCUAAUGGAGCCCUAGCCCAUUUGUCAUUGGGCUCGAUGCACAGCACUCUACUUGACCCGCGCAGUCAGGUGGACCUUAACUCACGGGUCGAUCAACUCACACAGAAGGUCGAUGAUCAGAACAACCUGAUUGGCCAGCUACUCAGGCAGAUCAACUUGAAUCAAGGCCCUAACCUUGGACCCCGUGACGAGGAGAUGAGGGCACACCAGCAUGUCGGCGAGCAGUUCGAGAGGUCUCAAGCUGGUCAAACAAGGGCAAACCGGCAGAGGAGAGAUCGAGAUCGAGAUCGAGUAGAUGAGACGCAGACAGCCGCGAGCCGUACUCUGCGCCUUUCGGGGCUAGAACCAAGGACCAAUGUGCUCGAGAGGCUAGGCCCACAGACUAAUGUCCACGCCCGCUUAGGCCCACAAUCCAAUGUCCACGCCCGCUUGGGCCCACAAGGAGCUCGGGUUCGUGAGCAGUCCUGUGACGAACGCAACGACCGACGCCCACCAACCCGCUCGAGGGCCAACACGCGACGGCAAGCUGUAAAGGGAUCAUUCCAAGCCCAAUCUCCUGAUCUUCCCCACGGGCAGGGCACCCAAGGGGAUCAACCCUUGGGAACCGAGGAAGGAGUUAGCCAGUCAUGCUCGAGACACCAAAGACGUCGACCUGAGCGACCCUCCUUGCGGGUAGAAGAUGAUGAUCGACGCCCACCAACCUGCUCGAGGACCAACACGCGACGACAAGAUAUAGAGGAAUCCUCAUAAGCUCAAUCUCCUAAUCUGCCCCACGGGCAAAACACCCAAGGGGAUCGACCCUUGGGAACCGAGGAAGAAGUUAGCCGGUCGCGCUCGAGGCACCGAAGACGCCGGCCCGAGACUCCAGUCCUGCGAGCAGAGGACGUCGAGAAGCUAGUAAAUGACCGACUCCAAGCUCUCCAACUUAAAGGAAGCGCGGAGGAGGCCCUGCAUAAGGAAAUUGAUCGAGUUGACUGCUCGCCCUUUACCGACAAAGUGGAACGAGCUCCUCCACCGAAGUUGUUCAUAACGCCAUCCAUCACUCCAUUCAAGGGGGACUCUGACCCUGAGAGCCAUUUGAGGCACUUCAAGAGCGCCAUGAUCCUGUACAAGACAGACGAUGCCCUGAUGUGCAAAGUGUUCGCGAUGACCCUGCGAGAAGCAGCUCAAGACUGGUUCCACACUCUACUGUCCGCGUCGAUAGGAAACUUCAAGGAGUUGGCCUUCAUCUUCACAAAGGAGUACACCUCCUACAAGACGGUCAGAAAGCAUGCAGACCAUCUGUUCAACCUGCGCAAGAAGCCAGACGAGUCUCUACGAGACUACCUGAGACGGUUUAAGGCUGAAAAGGCUAACAUCAUAGGAUGCAAUGACCAAGUUGCAUCCUCAGCUUUCAAGAAGGGCUUGCCAACCGAGCACGAGCUAUACCGGGAACUGGCCAUAACACCAAGUCAAACCUUGGCAGAAGUGUUCACGACGGCAGAACGCUACGCACUUUGGGACGAUGAUCGAAUCGCCGCAAAGAAAGCUAGCAAGCAAGUUGAUCACCCGACGAAGCAGGCAAGCCAAAAGAGCAACCAAUUCGAGCAAAAAGCCCGAGAUAAGCGCAGAUCGCGGCCCCAAGAGGGAAGCUCAGAAAUUGGGACCUUCACUGAGUUCGCUAUCCCAAUUCAUCAGAUCCUGGCUCAAGUGAAGGACAAGCCGUGGGUGAGGAGACCGCCACCCAUGAAAGGAGACCCCUCUAAGAGGGACACCAGUAAAUACUGCGCAUUCCACGGGGAGCACGGUCAUUACACCAACAAUUGCAAUGCCUGGAAAAGGCAUCUGGAGGAGUUGGUCAGAGAAGGUCAUUGCACAGAAUUCGUCGCAAAGAAGGCCAUCCAACAGAUCGAGGAUCGUGAUGCGGCUGCCAAGGAACCUCCCCAAAAGGUCAUUCGAAUCAACACCAUUCUAGCUGACUCUCAGGAGUCCGGGCUGACCACCAAGGAGCGCAAGAGGAAGAUCGCGCAGGCGACUUAUGUCUCCCAAGUCACAACGGGAGUACCAGUUAUUGUGGAUACACCCAUCAUUGGUUUCCAGAAGAAAGACUUGAUCGGGCUUGACCUGCCGCAUAAUGACGCCCUAGUCAUCUGCAUUCAGAUUGAACAAGCUGUGAUCGAGCAAGUUCAUGUGGAUGAGGGCAGCGCAGCCAACAUCCUGCAACUAUCUGUCAUCCAACAGAUGGGAUUGGAGCCCAAGAUAAGCAAACUUGCAAGGUCGCUGACUGGCUUCAAUGGGGCCACAUCAAUCACUGUUGGACAGAUCGACCUUGACGUCCACUCGCCUCCAGUAGUCUGCUCACAAACCUUCAUGGUCAUCGACGAGAUCUCCCCGUACAACGGAAUCCUGGACCGACCGUGGAUCAGCAAGAUCGAGGCUAUCACAUCUGCUCUACACCAGAAGAUUCGCUACCCCAUCCCUGGAGGUGGAAUCGGGCAGAUCAAUAGUGACCAAGCCAUGGCAAGAAGAUGCACAGCUCACGGACUCAGGAAGAGCAAGCAGAUGCAGUUCACACCAGUAAUGCAAGCUGCCAACGAGGCACGAAGCAGACAAGCAAGCUCGAGCGAGAAGGAAGCUGUUACCUCACAAUAGCAAUUAAUGAGCCAGGAUCAAGGCGAGGGAAUCCGCCCGGAAGACUCCCCUGAAAAGGGUUGGAAGUCUGAGGAUGACGUUGAGUUAGUACCCUCUGAUCUUGGCCAGCCAGACAAAGAAGCGCAGAUCGGCUCGCGCCAGAAUCCAAACAAGAAGGAUCGAGAUGAGGGAAUCCGCCCGGAAGGCUCCCUUGAAGAAGGUUGGAAACCUGAGGAAGACGUUGAGUUAGUACCCCUCGAUCCUAACCAGCCAGACAAGAAAGCGCAGAUCGGCUCGCGCCUAAGCCCAGACGAGAAGGUGGAGCUUACCACCUUCCUCCAAAACAACAAAGACAUGUUCGCGUGGUCACCAUCUGACAUGCCCGGCAUCGACCCAAACAUCAUCUGCCACCACCUCCAUGUCAACCCUGCCAGCAAGCCCGUGGUGCAGAAGAGACGCAACUUCGCUCCCGAGCGAGUCGCGAUCAUUGAAGCCGAGAUCGACAAGCUUCUAGCCGCUGGAUUUAUUGAAGAGGUCGCCUACUCAGAAUGGCUGGCCAACGUUGUUCUGGUGGCAAAACAAGAAAAGGGGAAAUGGAGAGUGUGCGUCGAUUACACCGACCUCAACAAAGCAUGCCCUAAAGACAACUUCCCAUUGCCGAGGAUCGACCAGCUCGUGGAUUCGACUUCCGGCAACCAGUUGCUCAGCUUCAUGGAUGCCUACUCCGGCUAUAAUCAAAUUAUGAUGUACGACGAUGACAAGGCGAAGACUUCUUUCAUCAUCGAGAGAGGGACCUACUGCUACAAGGUCAUGCCCUUUGGGUUGAAGGACGCUAGAGCAACCUAUCAAAGGCUCGUGAAUAAGAUUUUCAAGGAGCAGAUCGGUAAAACCAUGGAAGUCUACGUGGAUGAUAUGCUGGUCUAAGCCCCCAAGCGUGGAGACCACCUCAAAAACCUCGCCGAGGCAUUCAGCCUGCUCCGCCAAUACCGCAUGAAGCUGAAUCCAAGUAAAUGCACGUUCGGUGUAUCAUCCGGCCGAUUCUUGGGGUACUUAGUCACACAACGAGGUAUAAAAGCUGUUCUCGAGAUGAAGUCACCUUCCACGCCAAAUUAAAGCUGUUCUCGAGAUGAAGUCACCUUCCACAGUGAAGGAAAUACAAAGUCUGACGGGCAGAGCAGCAGCCCUCAACCGAUUCCUCUCGAAGCCAGUUCCUGGUGAAGACUUGUUCGUGUACCUGGCAGUGUCCAACUCGGCCGUCAGCUCAGCUCUCAUCCGAGAAGAACUUGGGGCCCAACAUCCGAUAUUCUAUACGUCAAAAGCUCUCCUCGAUGCAGAGACUCGCUACCCAAAAUUGGAGAAGCUCAUUUUGGCCCUUGUCGUUUCUGCGAGAAAGCUGCGACCUUAUUACCAAGCUCACCGAGUCAUCGUUAUGACUGACUUUCCUUUGAGAUCAAUCAUCCACAGCCCUGAUGCUUCUCAGCGGCUCAUGAAGUGGGCAAUAGAGCUAAGCCAAUACGACCUCCUCUACCGGCCAAAGACUGCGAUAAAAGCCCAAGCCUUAGUAGACUUUGUUGCAGAGUUCACACCAUCAGCCGAAGAAGAGAAGCUGGACAGCAAAAAGAAGGAAAGUUCGAGAGCAAACAAGACCUCCGCGGAACCUGACCAACCCAGAGACAUGUGGCAGCUACGCGUAGAUGGAGCUUCAAACCAGAAAGGAGCUGGAGCAGGCGUCGUCAUUGUCACCCCUGAUGGAACCCUGUUAGAGCAAGCUAUCACACUUGGCUUCCCGACUUCAAAUAACGAGGCAGAGUACGAAGCAUUGCUCGCUGGCUUGCGCUUGGCAAAUGAGCUAUCAAUCAAGAAGCUGGCCAUCUACUCGGAUUCCCAGCUGAUUACAAGUCAAGCCUCAGGAGAGUACAUGGCAAAACACCCAAGGAUGAUCUUGUACCUUGACAAAGUUCAAGAGCUGUUGAAGGUGUUUCCCACCUUCACCAUCCAGCAGGUGCCCCGAGCGGAGAACGCGCACGCUGAUGCACUGGCAAGCUUAGGAUCAGCACUGGAUAUCCAGUUCAAACGCUCCAUCCCAGUUGAGCACCUUGACCAGCCUAGCAUAGAAGAGGCAGAACAACCGAACCUAAUGCAGAUCGACGAGGAUCCUAGCUGGCAAGACCCAUCAUUGACUACCUAGUGAAUGAAAACUUGCCCGAUGACAAGUCCGAGGCCAGGAAAAUCAAGCAGAAGGCUGCAAGAUAUUACAUGAAAGGCGACAAGCCUUACCUCCAUUGUAGACAAGCUGCUCCCCGGAGCACAAACUCAAUGGAGUCUUUUUCAAGUGCUAUGUCCCCGACAUACGCACACAGGCGACAAGCCUUACCUCCAUUGCAGACAAGCUGCUCCCCGGAGCACAAACUCAAUGGAGUCUUUUUCAAGCGUUAUGUCCCUGACAUACGCACACAGGCGACAAGCCUUACCUCCAUUGCAGAUAAGCUGCUCCCCGGAGCACAAACUCAAUGGAGUCUUUUUCAAGCGCUAUGUCCCUGACAUACGCACGCAGGCCACAAGCCUUACCUCCAUUGCAGACAAGCUGCUCCCCGGAGCACAAACUCAAUGGAGUCUUUUUCAAGCGCUAUGUCCCUGACAUACGUACACAGGCGACAAGCCUUACCUCCAUUGCAGACAAGCUGCUCUCCGGAGCACAAACUCAAUGGAGUCUUUUUCAAGCGCUAUGUCCCUGACAUACGCAUACAGGCGACAAGCCUUACCUCUAUUGCAGACAAGCUACUCUCCGGAGCACAAACUCAAUGGAGUCUUUUUCAAGCGCUAUGUCCCUGACAUACGCACACAGGCGACAAGCCUUAGCUCAAUUGCAGACAAGCUGCUCCCCGGAGCACAAACUCAAUGGAGUCUUUUUCAAGCGCUAUGUCCCUGACAUACGCACACAGGCGACAAGUCUUAGCUCCAUUGCAGACAAGCUGCUCCCCGGAGCACAAACUCAAUGGAGUCUUUUUCAGGCGCUAUGUCCCCGACAUACGCACACAGGCAACAAGCCUUAGCUCCAUUGCAGACAAGCUGCUCCCCGGAGCACAAACUCAAUGGAGUCUUUUUCAAGCGAUAUGUCUUCCAAGUGCUAUGUCUCCGGACACACACUUACAAGAUACAAUGAGAAUUGAAGUUCGAAAGACAACUGAAAAUUCCAUAACAAGGCGGCCAAUCAGCCAAGUUCAACAAGAAGUAAGAUGGUCAAACAAAAGACCACUUAUUGAAAGAAAAUAACAAAGUUCAAAAAUAGCAAAAAUGAACUACAACUACUAGGGAACUUCAGCAGGUGACCCUUAGCAGGUCACAUCCUCAACUGCACUGGCAACAGCCUCAUUCUGCCCAGCCAGCACAACUUGCUCAACCGCCUCGGCUGCUCGCUCCUUCGCAUCCGCUUUAGCCUCAUCAGCUGACCCGCCUUGGCGUUUGUCUUCCUCAAUUGCAGCUUCAUCUGCUAUCUGCUCUUCAACUGUUUCUGCAUCCAUAGCAUCCACCUGCCCACUCUGAGUGGGGGGCAGGUCAAGACCAGACUGCUCACCGUCAUCGUCUUCGAGGGGGCAUCAAGGAGAAGCACCAUUCUGGCAAUCCAGCAUGCUUACGUUCGAGGUAGAAGAAGGCUUCCUUACGUUCGAGCAGGGUAGCCACAAAAGACUUGAGUUCACCAUCCUUUUGGCCAACUGAACUCUUGAGCACGGACAUACUCUCCUUCAUCUCGAAAAUCCUCGCAUCAUGGCGAAUCCGCUCGUUCGAGAGCUUGUCAGUCAGGUCGGAAUUCUUCUUCACCAGUUCGUCGAGCAGGGCAGAAGAGGGGGCAACAUUACGCGAGUUCCGCAUGGCCCCAACAGCAAAAACCAUUCCCUUUUGAAGGUGAUACAUGACAGCUUCUUCUUGCUUAUCCAAGGAAAGGCUCGAGAAAGCACAAAGGUCACCAGCUCGAUACACGUGAUCAACUAGCUUAGCGCAAGCAGAUGGACUUGACAGAAAGCCUGUUUUCAGCAGAUCAGACACUGGCUCACCCCCAGCAGAGCUAUCACCAGUUCCCGGACCGGCAGUUCGUGCAAUUGGAGGACUCUUCGCUCGAGCAGACGACUCUUUAGCUCUUUUGGCUGCAACUUGCAACAUUGAGUCAGCCCUGUGCUUGACUGUUCGUGGCCCUGCAGAUGAGUCGUGGUUGCUAGACCGAGGUACAGUCAUCUCAGCUUGGUUCCCAGAUCGGCACGGACGACCCAAACCUUGCUUCCCAACGGCUUCCUUGCAUGGCAGAUCACGGGUCUUAGGCAGUACGGGCAAAGACUUGAAUAGAAUUUCCCGAACCCCCUGCAUGCUGUUGGCCUUCUUGCUGUUCGCGCUGACGAGGCGUUUGAUCCCGGCAGACGAGUCCCGGCAGACGAGGCAAGAGCAACUCCCAUAUGGGCCUUCUGAGCAGGCGAGACCUCCCUUGUAGAAGACUUGUUUGUGGCAAGAGAGGAUCUCGGCUGCCUUAGCUGUGGAGACAUAUCCACUGAUCGUGAAACGACAGCUUCAUUUCGAGCAGAGCUACUGCACGCUUUCCCACCCUCGGGGGACUCAGUCGAUGACUCCUCCCGCUCAACUGGCAAGUCACUUAGCUCCAAGCAGUGCGACUUCCACCUUUCAAUAUCUUCAGCAGGGGGCAAGCCACCAACUUCCUUCCGAUGUUCACUCAGCAGCUAGCGCCAUUCACGAAACUUGGCGGGGAUGCUCAAAGCUUGUCGAACCUUCGUCAUAUCCGGGUCGAGAACGAGCUUCUUUCGGAUGGCAUCAUCUGCAAGCAUGAGACAAAAGUUAGUCAGACACAGCAAAGAAUUCCAUGGCAACAGUAGCAGAUCAGAGGGAUGCAACUUACCAUCGCAGUAGGUGAGAGGAACGAGCGGAUCGUCGCCAACCUCCUCUUCCUAUCUGCCGCUGACUUUCAGCACGUUCGUGCUCCGCACAUGAUCGCCUUGACUCAUACUGAUCCUAGUUCGUGGCACAAAAAUAAGAAGGAAUUGAAGCAAUUUGGAUCAUCCAUAAAAAAGAUGACCUAAACUGCCACCUGCUCCAGCAGCAGAUCGCGCACCUCUAGCCCAGUUACAGCUGGACAGCCCGAGUAAAAAGCCUCCUCAACUCGGGAGCCCAAGUCCGGGAAGGAAGCCCAGUUACAGCUGGACAGCCCAACGGAUAAUUUACAUCUCCUACAUGCCACCACGCGCCAUGCAGAAGCUGGGGGGCAUUUGUGGGAACCUAAUUAAACCAAAACCCUAGGUCAAUUAAUUAGGCCAAUCAAUUUGAGAAUUAUUUGACCUAAUUAGGAGUUACCUAACCUAAUUGGGAAUUACCUAAUCAAAUUGGGGGUUACUUGAUCCCCAAUUUAAUUAGGGAUUCGGUUCAUCCAUAAUCCCUAAAUGCACCAACCCCACCAACCACACCAACUACACCAACCCCACCUACCUCUCCAAAGGCCACUAUAAAUACCUGGUUACACACAAGGAUGAGGUACGUCUAAAUUCCUACUGAAACUCUGCAUAAAUUAUUUCUCAAAAACCCUAGCCACCUCCUUUCUUUCUCUCUCUCACACAGGGCUCCGGCCACCACACACGGCUCCGGCCACCCGGUUUUCCUUGAAACACCCUACCUGACUUAGGCAUCGGAGGGCCUUUGGCCAACACCCCCUGGGUGUGGUCCUUUUACUCCGAUUUGUUUUGCAGGGAGAGAGAGAAGCAGAGAAGACGAAGGAAUCUUUGACGAAUAUUCUCCCGUGAGAUUAUUUGUACAAACAAUGAUGUUCAGGAAUUGCAAGAUAUUGGAAACAAUAUGGAUGACUGUGUAGGUAAUGUUGAGCAUAAUGAGAAUGAUGACAAUGAAAAUGUUGAUAUCGAUGAAAAUGUUGUUUUAUGAUAUUAAGGUAUGGCAAACAAAAAAAAAAAAAAAUUUCGUAUUAGAUUAUGUAAGGC
rnacentral:lncRNA from 1 species